CUUGGGAGGGGGGGUCCCUUAGCCCGAAUUGCGAGAGGGUGCAGGCCAUGCCAAGGGACCCCACCAGUGCAGU
rnacentral:pre_miRNA from 1 species